UGAGUUGUACUAGUUGCAUGUAUCUCAAAGGUUGUUAGCAUUCUUUCCGAUAUCUCUUGUAGAUAGAGUCCCAUCUUUGUAAACUUGCUUUGCAAGAUUGUAAUCCUAACAAACCCUAUGUAUAUACCACGCUAGGGGCUAUUCCUAGCUUAUAUAAACACGCAACCAUAGAGCUCGGAUGGCUAACCACGUUCAACAAAUUUCACACUCCCGCCUCCCCUAUCGGUUCCAAGGACACCAUCAUUGCUGGAUUCCUUUCCCUUCCCGUGACCGCUCCCUCUCUAGUCCGGCCAAAGAAUGAUUCUUGCACCACCAAAAUUGCCCAACCACCAUCCUCCACCACGAUGGUGGGUGCUGCUAUUGCUGCCUUGCCAUUCCACUUAUUGCCCGCCACUACUGCCAGGCAGCAACCUCCCUAUACAUCUACCCAACUCGAAAUCGCAAAUCCUAACAUCACCGGCAUUGCCAUCCUAUGACUAGAAUCACAUGUUACUUUUACCAUCCUUUCUUACUUCUUUC
rnacentral:lncRNA from 1 species